CGGCGAUGCGUCCUGGUCGGAU
rnacentral:siRNA from 1 species